UGAGCUUAGGGGAGGUAAUUCCCGAGUCGAAAUUUAGAGCCUAUAUAGAACCCUUUAGUCCGAAAUAGAUCCGAUUGAAAGCCCUGUAGUCCCAUAGCUCC